rnacentral:rRNA from 1 species
UACGGAGGAUUCAAGCGUUAUCCGGAUUUAUUGGGUUUAAAGGGUGCGUAGGCGGUCGGAUAAGUUAGAGGUGAAAUCCCGAGGCUCAACCAUAAAAUUGCCGUUGAAACUGGAAGACUUGAGUGUGUUUGAGGUAGGCGGAAUGCGUGGUGUAGCGGUGAAAUGCAUAGAUAUCACGCAGAACUCCGAUUGCGAAGGCAGCUUACUAAGCCAUAACUGACACUGAAGCACGAAAGCGUGGGGAUCAAACAGG